rnacentral:lncRNA from 1 species
CCUGACCUCGUGAUCUACCCGCCUCAGCCUCCCGAAGUGCUGGGAUUACAGGUGUGAGCCAUUGCGCCUGGCCCAACAAACUCCUUUUUAUAUCUAGAUAUAUCCCAUUAGUUCUGUCCUUCUAGAGAACCCUGACUAAUACACUUCCUCAUGAUCCAUAAUUUGUACCUUACCUUCUGGGGCUUUCGGGGACUUGAGUCUAGUUAUAAAUCUAGGAAAGAGAGAGGUGGUGGGGAUGGGUUCUGCAGAGGAUUAUUACAGGAUCUUUAGACAAAGGGGAACCAGUCCUCUCAGAUGAUGGAAGGGUUGCUUCUAUUAGCAAAGAAGAUUCAGCAGAACUUGGGGUUCAAGUUCCCAGCUUUACUGGAAUCUCCCCGUAUAUCCCCUUCCAGUUCUCAGGGCCCCUCUCCUUCCCAAUCAGUACCCUUACUUUAACAAAAGAGGUACUACAUGGCUGCAAAUUCAAUUUGCCUUGUAAUUCAGCCACCCACAAAAUUAGACUUUGGAUUUAGUUUCCCUGUGGCUAUAGGAGAUUAGGGUUUCUUUAAGUAGUCAUUGGAGCUUCCAGAUUCUUAAUGUGAGCCUUGAGCUGGAAAUUUGAAGUCCCGAGCUCAUCAUUUUCUUUCCUUAUGUUCUCCAGCCCAAUGAGAAGCAUGUCCUCCUUAUUUUCAUUAAAAGGAACUACAGCCUCAAAUGCUUAGUAACCUAGAGCCUAGCUUUCUAUAAAACUUGAUUACAGGUCUCUAAAUGUAAUAAUUUUACAUUACUGUCUUGUCAUUGCAGGCCAUAAAGUAUCAGUGCCCUCUUUACCUCUGGAAAUAGGCUCAUUAAUGCCUGUAAAUCUAAUCAGAUCAGAAAAUCAAUUCUAGAUAAGCCAGAACGAAUUCAAAGAAAUCAUCCUAAGAUUCUGCUCCUCUGGAACUACUCUGAGUACUGGAUUUUUUUUUAAAGUGCCACAAUUGACCUUUCAGUGAGAGAAUUCUCCCAGUUGAGUUUAAAUUCACAGAGAGCAGGCUCCAGACACCCACCACAGACUGAGUGUCCUCUGGCAAGGCUGAUCCAAGACGGCCUUCACUUUGUUUAUCCUCCUUCCCUCAGAACAUCUUGUUUCUCCUGUAGGCUUUGACAAAAUAGUUGAGUCUAAAUUCUAUAAAUACAGGGUACUGAGAAGAUGGUUUUGCCUGGGAACAUUUUUUAAAGCCCAAAGUGUUAAUAGGUGGUGUUGUAAUUAUCUCCUGUGUCCUAUUAAUUUCUGAGGUCCUGAAAGAACCACACUUAUUCUUAGGAGAGAUGUCUGAUCUUGAAGUUACUGAAGAACCCCCAAUUUUAUCCAGGUAUCGAGGACCUCUCUGAAGGACUCUGAGCAGAAUUUAACAUUCAGGAGUGAUUUCUUUAAAUUUUAAUUUUAUUUAAGAAAUUUGGCUCUUCCUAUUCUCCAUGAUGGUGCAGGAUCAAGGUGAAAAGAAGAUCCCCACUUGGGAACUUCACAUCCACAAACUCGCCUCAAUAUCUGUGUGGGGAGGGUAGAGACAGACUGACCUGAGCAGCUCACAGGCCAGACCCCUGUGUUUUCCAAAGCCAAGUACAGCAUCAGAUCCUUCAGCAUCAGGAGAAAUGAAGAGAUUGCCGUCCACUGCACACUCUGAGGGGCCAAGGCAGAAACAAUCCUGGAGAAAGGUCUAAAGGAAUGGGAUUGGCAGCAAACAACUGUAUACCUGACUAACAGUGGCCUGAACAAAUAACGACAUAAUUUUCUCACCUUAUGAGAAGGCUGGAGGUAAGUGGCUGCUUGUAUUGGUUCAGAAGCUCAGUGGUGUUGGGACUGACACCACUGUGAUUCUCUUUGCCUUUCCCCCAUGGUUUCAAAAUGAUGGCUGUAUCCACGUUCAAGGAAGGAAGAAGAAAGUGCUGCAGUUCCAUUUUAUUGGGAAAGCAAAUGCUUUCCCAGAAACUUCACCAGAUUAUGCUUAUAUCUCAUUGGCUAGAACCACGUCACAUGGCCACCCCUAGCUGCAAGGGAGGCUGGAUGAAAGCUACUCCAUCAUCUUGAAUCCUGGAGUGAAGAUGAGAUGGGGAAGAACUAAGCUGACCUUUGAUGAACAGACGGCAUGAGCGUAAAAUGAACCUUUAUUGUAAGUCAGUGAGGCUGGCGGGGGCAUGUUAAUGACUGUGGCAUGCCCUUGACUGAUUAUAUUCUUCACUGACAUGCUGCCUAGCAUGCAGAGGCCAUGCGACCCUUGGGGAGGCUCCUACUUGCCUUGGAAAAGUAGCUCCUCCUCUUCUCAAAUGUAAUAAUGGAAACCUUACAUGGGUGGAUCCAGGGGUAAAGCUCUUUGUGGUGUAUAGCAACAGAAUGUUAAGUCAAAGUGGUUGUCAACAAAGUUUAUCGAACAGCAGCUAUAUUUUUUAUAAUGAACACUGGUUUGCCUGGAACCUUGAAGUAACCAUGAAUUUUUCCUAGACCCUAAUACUAUCAGAAAGAAACAAAUCACCCAACAAUAAGAUCAGUAACUAAAACCAACAAAUCCCAAAGGCAUCUCACAGUGCUGGCAUAUGUCUCUGCCAUAGCUCAUGCUCAUAAACUGCAAUGAGCCAACCCUGGCAUCAUGAAGGACCCCGAUUUUAAAAAUGGGUAAAGAAGUUCUGAAAGCCUGGGCAACAUAGUGAGACCAUUCUCUUAAAAAAAAAAAAUUA